rnacentral:rRNA from 1 species
AUUGAACGCUGGCGGCAUGCCUUACACAUGCAAGUCGAACGGCAGCACGGGGCAACCUGGUGGCGAGUGGCGAACGGGUGAGUAAUGCAUCGGAACGUACCUUUCAGUGGGGGAUAACGUAGCGAAAGUUACGCUAAUACCGCAUAUUCUGUGAGCAGGAAAGCAGGGGAUCGCAAGACCUUGCGCUGAUUGAGCGGCCGAUGUCAGAUUAGCUAGUUGGUGAGGUAAAGGCUCACCAAGGCGACGAUCUGUAGCGGGUCUGAGAGGAUGAUCCGCCACACAGGAACUGAGACACGGUCCAGACUCCGACGGGAGGCAGCAGUGGGGAAUUUUGGACAAUGGGGCAACCCUGAUCCAGCCAUGCCGCGUGGGUGAAGAAGGCCUUCGGGUUGUAAAGCUCUUUCGGCCGGGAAGAAAUCGCACGGGCUAAUACCCUGUGUGGAUGACGGUACCGGAAUAAGAAGCACCGGCUAACUACGUGCCAGCCGCCGCAGUAAAAC